GCCCCCGUAGCUCAGUGGAUAGAGCGUUGCGCUGCGGACGCAAAGGUCACAGGUUCAAGUCCUGCCGGGGGUA
rnacentral:tRNA from 1 species